UGAGGAAUAUUGGGCAAUGCCCGCAAGGGUGACCCAGCAACGCCGCGUGGAGGAUGAAUGUCGUAAGAUUGUAAACUCCUGUUAGAGGGGAAGAAUAGUACCGGUUGGACCGGUAUAUGACUGUACCCUCAGAGAAAGCCCCGGCUAACUACGUGCCAGCAGCCGCGGUAAUACGUAGGGGGCAAGCGUUGUCCGGAUUUACUGGGUGUAAAGGGCGCGCAGGCGGGAUAAAAAGUCAGUGGUGAAAUCCUACAGCUUAACUGUAGAACUGCCUUUGAUACUUUUAUUCUUGAGUUCGGGAGAGAGAGACGGAAUUCCAGGUGUAGUGGUGAAAUACGUAGAUAUCUGGAAGAACACCAGUUGCAAAGGCGGUCUCUUGGUCCGACACUGACGCUGAGGCGCGAAAGCGUGGGGAGCAAACA
rnacentral:rRNA from 1 species